AUCAUAUCAUUGUGAGGUGACAUUCUCUAGAGGCCAAAUAAGAUGGGUACUUGCAUUUGUUGCAAAUGAGUAAGUGUACUCUCUCAUUAUUAUUGUUGCUAGCCAAACAUCGUAUCAUCGUGAGGUGGGCUUGGUAAUAGUGAGCCUCCCAUAACCUACUAGGAGUUUCAUCCAAAACUCUCGAAUUCCAAUGAGGGAUAUGGAAUUUGCCAAAAAUAGUGGGUGGUGCUAUUUUGAUUUAAAGACCCGAAUCAAAUGGCUUAAAAUCAAUCUAUUUAUAUUCGUUAUGUAUUUGUUUACCAAUAUAUUUGCAAACGCUAUCCAAAACUUGACAAAGAAAAGCCGAAUGCUUUAGUUUCCGGACUCGGUAACACAAUCCCAAAGAUUGUCUUAAAUGGAUUGUAUAUGUACCUAAGUAGUCUCAUCCUCAAAAUCGUUCUAUUGGUAAUGUAUCAUUGAAAGAACAUGUUAGAUAA
rnacentral:lncRNA from 1 species